rnacentral:rRNA from 1 species
UGGGGCAUAUUGCACAAUGGGCGCAAGCCUGAUGCAGCCAUGCCGCGUGUGUUAAGAAGGCCUUCGGGUUGUAAAGCACUUUCAGCGGGGAGGAAGGCGAUAAGGUUAAUAACCUCAUCGAUUGACGUUACCCGCAGAAGAAGCACCGGCUAACUCCGUGCCAGCAGCCGCGGUAAUACGGAGGGUGCAAGCGUUAAUCGGAAUUACUGGGCGUAAAGCGCACGCAGGCGGUCUGUCAAGUCGGAUGUGAAAUCCCCGGGCUCAACCUGGGAACUGCAUUCGAAACUGGCAGGCUAGAGUCUUGUAGAGGGGGGUAGAAUUCCAGGUGUAGCGGUGAAAUGCGUAGAGAUCUGGAGGAAUACCGGUGGCGAAGGCGGCCCCCUGGACAAAGACUGACGCUCAGGUGCGAAAGCGUGGGGAGCAAACAGG